rnacentral:rRNA from 1 species
AACGAACGUUGGCGGCGUGCUUAACACAUGCAAGUCGAACGAGAAAGUUCCUUCGGGGACGAGUAAAGUGGCGCACGGGUGAGUAACGCGUAAGUAAUCUACCUUCGCAUCUGGAAUAACUACGGGAAGCUGUAGCUAAUACCGGAUACGAUCUCUUGUCUACGGACUUGAGAAGAAAGAUGGCCUCUUCUUGAAAGCUAUCGUGCGGGGAGGAGCUUGCGUACCAUUAGCUAGUUGGUAGGGUAAUGGCCUACCAAGGCAACGAUGGUUAGCGGGUCUGAGAGGAUGAUCCGCCACACUGGAACAGGAACACGGACCAGACUCCUACGGGAGGCAGCAGUGAGGAAUAUAGCGCAAUGGGGGAAACCCUGACGCAGCGACGCCGCGUGGAUGAUGAAGGCCCUUGGGUCGUAAAAUCCUGUCAGGUGGGAAGAAAUGCAUAUGAAUUAAUACUUCUUAUGUUUGACGGUACCACCAAAGGAAGCACCGGCUAACUCCGUGCCAGCAGCCGCGGUAAUACGGAGGGUGCAAACGUUGUUCGGAAUUACUGGGCGUAAAGCGCGCGUAGGCGGUUUGUUAAGUCAGAUGUGAAAGUCCACAGCUCAACUGUGGAAGUGCAUUUGAAACUGGCAGACUUGAGUACUGGAGGGGGUGGUGGAAUUCCCGGUGUAGAGGUGAAAUUCGUAGAUAUCGGGAGGAAUACCGGUGGCGAAGGCGACCACCUGGCCAGAUACUGACGCUGAGGUGCGGAAGCGUGGGGAGCAAACAGGAUUAGAUACCCUGGUAGUCCACGCCGUAAACGAUGUCAACUAAGGUGUUGGGGCGGUUAAUCGUCUCAUUGCCGGAGCUAACGCAUUAAGUUGACCGCCUGGGGAAGUACGGGUCGCGAAGAUUAAAACCUCAAAGGAAUUGACGG